rnacentral:rRNA from 1 species
UACGAAGGGUGCAAACGUUGCUCGGAAUUAUUGGGCGUAAAGCGCACGUAGGCGGCAUUGCAAGUCGGAUGUGAAAUCCCUCGGCUUAACCAAGGAAGUGCAUCCGAAACUGCAGUGCUUGAGUACUUAAGAGGAUCGCGGAAUUCCCGGUGUAGAGGUGAAAUUCGUAGAUAUCGGGGAGGAACACCAGUGGCGAAGGCGGCGAUCUGGGAAGAUACUGACGCUGAGGUGCG